GUAGCCCGAACGCAACGCGGUAUCUUCAUCGCUUAAUCUCAGCCGUCCAUCCAACCUCAUAACUCUAUAAAUAGACUCUCCAGUUAUACAAUUCCUCCAUCCUAGUUUGUUUUCUUUGUUCGCUGAGCUUGUGAUUUCCCUGCUAGGUUUGUGGUUUUCAAUCCGUAGAUUGUCGCUGUUGAGAGUUUGAGUUCCGCCCCAGAGAUUAUCCGUUUGAGGUUUUUUGAUUUGAGAUUCAGUUUUGUAAUUAGAAUUGGUGUUUCUCUCCUUUGAGGCUGCAGAGAUCGUUUGUUGAUGUCGGUUUUUGGUAUUUAUUUACACGGUUCUCGUUUGUAGUAUUUUGUGAAGAUGAUGUGAUGCCUUCUUUUCUGAAGUCGCAGUUUGUCCGGUAGCGAUCGGUUAUUGUUUUGAUUUCUCUUCUAUCUUCUUCUGUUAUAUAAGUCUCACUCGCUUCCACUACCUUCUGGCUUCGUAUCGUUGCUUUCUCUCAUUCAAUUGGUAAUUUAUUUGGAAUAUGUGAUAUGGAAUGAUGGCUGGGGCUUCUUUGGAGUUUCUUUUUCUGGUGUGAGGUUCGGUUUGCAAUUAGUUCUGUUUUUUCUUCUUUGUUGAUGGUUUGUAGGUCAGACGUUUCCAUUGUUUGAUCAGGUCUGAGUAAUGAUUGUAGGAGAAUGAUUAGGGGCUUCCGGUGGCGUUGAUGAUGAUUAUAGUGACUUCCGGUGGGUGAUUUUUUCACAUGGAAUUGCAGUUAGUACCUUCACCCUAAUCAUAGCCAUGGUAUCUCACCCACUAACUACUUUAAUAAAUAGCCUGCCUUUGAGGAUUGUAACCUCAUGGUUUCUCAAUGUUCCUAUUUUCUUCCCUUCCCUGUUUCAACUUUCGCGAGUCCUUUUAAUUUAAAAAAAAAAAAAUUGUUUUCGAUUGAAAUUUCUUUUGUUUCCAAUAUUCAACAUUUAUGUUGACAACAUUGACAGCAGAUAAGAAAUUUCGUCUUCAUUUAAACCUGCUAUUCCUAUCAUGCUAUUGCUUCUGGUUUUUCGGAUUUUGCAAUCCCUCAAUUGUGUGUUGGUGAGAUCCAUUCUAGAUGCAAUUUUGGGGGAAUCAAGCAUGCUUUCAGGUUUUGGGCGAUUCUGAGGUUGCUGUGAGACCUCUAUGCAAUUAAGUACUCUUUUUUUUCCAUGGAUGGUAUUUGGAGUUGUUUGUGUUUCUGAUUUACAUGAGCUCCUCCUCCUGUUUUGAAAGGUGCGCUGAUGUACACUGAUUUGCCACGCUAUCUGAGCUAUCAAUCCCCUGAAUUCUCGAGCAAUUUUGCUCCCUUGCUGACUUGCAAUUUCAGAUAAAUGAUUCCGUGAUCUAUUCUAGUGCUGUGUUACAAGUAGGGGACAACCACAGCGUGGAGACUACUGCUUGGGAUAUGAUAUCUCGACUUUCAUCUUAUAUGCUAUUUCGCUGCCAAUAUCCUUUUAUUCCUCGCAUCAACUUCUUUUACCUUGACUUUUUUGGUCGGGUCAUCAGUGGAUUCCGUACCUAGGUGUGGUGUCAGUUGUCAAGGAUACAUGGAUGGGUUAUCUAAAAUUUGAUCCGUUGUCUCUACAGGCAUAAGUGUCUUACUUUGGUGUUUGUGUGGGGAAGAUGCAGAGCAGGUUCCCCCCUUUGACUAUAGGUAUUGGAUAUUUUGUGUCUUGGAGCUUUGUCAAGAUUUCUGUUAAAUGGAAGUUCUGAGCUACAAUAAUUCUUUUUGCUAGUGUGUAUACUAUAUUCUGCUGCCACUAGUUUUGAGUCCAGAUGCUCGGAAUUGCAAAGCUGUGGGUAGUCUCUGAGCAGUGAAUACUUCUUUUCAUGGAGCGAUUGUUUGGUUUUAAAUUGUCGGCUAUCUGUUACUAUACAACUCACUCACUACCAGCACCUUCUAUCAUCGUGUCGUUGCUUUCCUAUGAUUGGUAGUUUAUAUAUUUCAGUUUAUUUUGUCUUUGAUUUUCUGUAGGUUUCUGAUUUGCUUUUCUUUGUUCAUCUCUGUUGAGAAGUUGAGCAUGGACCAUGUAAUUCAAGCGGGUGAUCGGGGUUUGGGAGUUCUUUUUGAGUUUUUUUUUUUUUUGGUGUCAGAUUCAGUUUGCAGGUACAAUAGUUUUCUUUUUCUUCUUUGUUGAUUAGAGACGGUUGUUUGUAUGUCAAUGUUGCCAAUGUUUGAUCUGGGUAAUGAUCAUAGGAGAAUGAUAGGGACGUUUCUGUGGCUUGGAUGAGUAUUUUCUAUUUCGGGAAGGUGGGUGAUUUCUUCUCAAGGAAUUGCAGCUAGUACCUUCAUCCUUCUCAUAGUCAUGGUAUCUCAUGGAUUCCCCUUUACAGAUAGCCUUUGAGGCCUUCCUCUUUUUUUUUUGUGCCAUUGGUUUCUGAUUUGCGUCCUUCAACUGUCAAUGCUAAGAAUGAGUCUGGCUUGCUGGUGUGACCCAUUCUAGAUUGCACUUUUGGGGGAACCAAGCAUAUUUUCAGGUUUUGGGCCACUUCUGAGGGUUUUGUUGUGACAUUCCACUAUGCAAUUAGUUCCAUAUGGAUGCUGGGCAUGUUAGCCAUUGUGUUCCAGUUCUUUUCCCAGUAGUGAUGAUGGAUAGAAGGAUUAUUCUGUGUUUUCUGAUUUGCAUGAGCUCCUCCUAUUUUGAAAAGGGAUGCUGGUGCGCACUGCUUUGCCCACACAUUUGAGCUUCACUCUCCUGAAACCUCAUUAUCUUUGCUCCCCAUGCGGACUGGAUCUUCAGAUGAACAAGUCAGUGAUCUAAGCCUAUGUGUCAGAAGCAGGGAACAAGUGUCCAGCAUGGAUCUAUUGGUUUGGAUAUGAUAUCUUCCAUCUUAUAUGCUAAUAAUUAUUGUCUUGUUCUCGCACCAACUUCUUUUACCUUGACUGUCUCAAUGCUUAUUUGGUCCAAUCGUCGGUGGAUUUCAUUCCUAGGUUGUGUCAGUUUUCAAGGAUGCAUGGAUGGGUAUCUAAGUUUUGAUCCAAGGGCGCAAGUGGUUCUACAGGUGUAAGUGUCUUGCUUUGGUGUUUGUGUUCAGAAAGAUGCAGAGCAAGCUCUUAGGUCUUCGACCAUAGGUAUCGGAUAUAUUGGUCUCUUAGUUUUGUCGAAACUGCUCAUAUGCGGAAGCUCUCAAUUGAUGAUAAUUCUUUUCACAAGUGUGUAUAGUGUAUUGUGCUGUCAUUUUAGUUUUCAGAGAUGCUUAUGGAUGAAAUCUCUUAUGGUAUGGACACCUGAAGAGUACGCAAACUCAAUUCUGGAUCUUUUGAUAGCCCUGUGAAGUGCUCCUCUACUUUAUGCGUCCUCUUUGCUUAUCUUCUCCGUUUCCGUUUUCUUAUGUUUUAUCACGUCGGCAUGAUUUUGUUUGUUGGAUGGAUGUGUAGACCACAGGGUGACAGUAGAUCACAUGGUCACAGUAAUAAGGAUUAGAUUUGGAAAUUUCAAAGGUUGGUGUCCAGUAUUUGGUGCUUGCUCUGUGAUCUGGGUGUUGUCACGCUCCGAGAAAAGGAGGUUUUUCAAUCUCGUCUCUGGCAUCUCUAGUGAUUUCCUUGGUGGUUUGGGUUUAGCCAACUAUGCACUUAACUGUUACUCUUCUUUCUGUGCUUGCAGUUGCCGUGUCUUAGAGCAGUGAUAUCUUCUUUUCACGGCGUGCCCUUGUUUGUGGUUUAGGGAAAUUUUCUGUUCAGUUUUCUUCCCUAAUCUGAGUGCUUUCCUUCUCUCACCAUAUGCUCUUAGAGAUGGUGCUCGUCUAUUAGUUAUGCUCUUAGAGCUCUUCUAUUAGUUCUUUUGCAGAAAAUCUAACAUGUCCGCGGUGAUUCCAUUGCAUGGCGGUGGGUAUUGAUUAUUUUCAUUCAACUUUUGGUUCUUUUAUUUGGUGAUUUAUCUGCAGCCGUAAUUGAUUAUUUCUAUUUUAAGGUGUAAUCAAGCUCUGCCAGCAGUGUCUAGAUUCAACUUGCAGUAUUUGUAGGGCUACCGUGCUGUUAUCCUUAUCUGAAGUUAAUGAUCAGCAGAAGAGAGAUUUUAGAUAUCAUAGGUUUUGAUCAGUCAAUAUCUUUACUAGUAUUAACAAGUCCGUCAUCUAUCCUACCCAUAUGUAUCAUAAGCAGGCCACGACAUCAGUGUGGAUGGAGCUAUCAGUUUGGUUUGAGAUCUUGACUUUCAUCGCAAUGUUAAUAUUGAUGCAAGUAGUAUCUUUUUCUCGCACAGACUUCUUUUACCUUCCCUUGUAGUGCUUAUUCGUUUCGAUCAUUAGUGGAUUUCAUUUGGUGUUACUUGUCAAAGGAUACAUGGAAUAGGUAUCUAAGAUUUGAUCCAAUGGUGCAAGUGGUUCUGAAGAAAUAAGUGCCUCCUUGCUGUGGUGUUUUUUUUUUGGGAAGAUGCAGAGCAAGUUUUCAGGUCUUGGACUAUAGGUAUUGGAUAUUUCGCGUCUCACAGCUUUCUCAAAACUGCUAUAAUAUGGAAGCUCCCAGUUAAGUUAAUUCUUUUCACAAGUGUGUGUAUUCUGCUGUCAUUUUUAAUUUUUAUUCCAGAUGCUUGGCUCGGUUUCUUUUCACUCUACUCUAUCAUUAUUUUCCAUCUUGAGCAGCGAUGCAACACUAUGCUUUGCUUUCUGUAGAUGUGGUGUGAGCUAGCAAGAUGGCUGAGUUAGCUUUUGGUUUCAUUACAAACUCCAGCUCUGGGCUAGCUAUUCGUGUUCUCGCAUACUAUUCUAGUUUGGAUUAUUUUCUUCCUACAGGUGUAAAGGGAUGGGUACUCAAAUUUGCAUCUCUUGAUAGCCGCAUAAAGUGCUCCUUUUGGUGUUCUUGCUACUUGCCUUCUCUGCUUCUGUUUUCUUUUGUUUAUCACGCCAACUUUAUUUUGUCUGUUGGACGGAUGUGUAGACCAGAUGGUGACAGUCAUUGAGGAUUUGAUUUUGAAAAUCCAAAGUGGUGUCCAAUAUGGUGUUUGCUCUGCACCCUGUAUUUUGUCAGACUUCGAGGAAAGGGGGUUUUUCAAUCUUAUCUCUGAAAUCUCGUUAAUUUUCCUAGGUGGUAUCAAUUUGCACUCAACUGUUCCCUUCCUUCUGUGCUUGCAGCUUCUAGGUCUUAGAGCAGUGAAUUCUUCUCAUGGAGUGCUCUUGUUUGUUGAUUUGCUUUUAAGGUUUCUUUAGUUCAGGCAGAUCUAGGUAUCAAGAGUUUCAAUUCAAUUUUCUUCCCUAAUCAGAGUGCUUCCCUUCUCUCAGCUUAGGCUCUUGAUAGUGGUGCAUUCUAGUAGGUCCUUUUGCAGGAACUUUAACGCGUCCGUGGUGGUUUCCAGGCAUGGUGGCGGGUAGAUUGUUUUUUUGGUUCUUAUAUUGAGUGAUUUAUCUGCAGCCAUAAUCAAUUACUGAUAUUCUAUGGUGUGUACUUAUGUCCGAUCAAGCUCGUGCCAGCAUUGUCUAGGCGUUCAUGCAGUUGGCAACACUUGUAGGGCAACCUUGUUGUUUUCGUAGUCUGAAGUUCACAAUCAGAAUAUAUUAACUAGAAGAGAGACAUUUUAGCAUACGGAUUGUAAACGGGGUUUCCCCUUUGUAAUAAUUUUUUUUACCUUACAAAAAAAGAGAGUAACAUUUCAAAUCUAACAGAUUCCGAUCAAUUGAUGUCUUCACCAGGUAGCAGAGGGCUUUUGCUGCUCAUAGUUUUGAUCAGUUCAUUUGUGGAUCUGCGUUCAAACUGUUUGCUAUCGGGUAAAUGAAGCCUCUUUGUUUGGAGAUCUCUUUUGAAGCAUGCAUAUUAUGUUUUAAAUAUUCUCUCAUUUGAUUACUUGCUUCUUUUGCUAUUAUGUAAAAGUUUUUGUGUAAGAGAUCUCCUUCACAUUUUUUCUCCACAGAACAUUUCCACUUGAACAAGAGCUCGAUUCAUUGAUUCUAAAAUUCUCUUAUUUUAAUUUUGUAAAUGAAUGCAAGGUAAUUAUUUUGUUCUUUGUAAUAGAUCUUCACAAGAGUAUAUAUCUUUUGGAACCCUUGUGAAUCUACCACAUAUGUGAUCAUCGUGCAAGGUGGCAAGUUUUUCAAAAUCUUAGUUUAAAGUUGGUUAGCUUUCCUUUUAAUACUUCCAAAUUGCCUUGUAAUAAUUUGCUUAACAUGGUUGAAUCAGCAUUGACUAAUAGGCAAUCGUUGUGCCACUAUCUUUGUUUUCUUGCUACGCUGUGGUGGUAUGUUUAGUCAAAUGUCACUUCACAAAUUGUUUGAUCAGCCAAAUUUCACUUCACAGAUGUGUCAAUUUAGAUCACCGUCAAAAGGCUCGGGGUAUCCCUCAAAAGCAUGUGGCUGGUUUUUAUGUAGACCCACCAGGCUCAGUUUUUUUUCACUUUACUAUCGUUAUUUUCCAACUCGAGCAACGUGCAACUAUUUGCUCUACGUUCUAUAGAUGUGGUCACAAAUCUGUCAAUUUGGAUCACCGUCAAAGGAUGGGGUAUCCCUCAAAAGAACGUGGCUGGUUUAUAUGUAGAGCCACCAGGCUCGGUUUCUUUUCACUCUACUCUAUUGUUAUUUUUCAUGUCGAGCAACGAUGCAACAAUAUGCUUUUACUUUCUGUAGAUGUGGUGUGAGCUAGCAAGAUGGCUGAGUUAGCUUUUGGUUUCAUUACAAACUCCAGCUCUGGGUCAGCUAUUCGUGUUCUCGCAUACUAUUCUAGUUUGGAUUAUUUUCUUCCUACAGGCGUAAUCUAAUAUGUGUCGCUAGGGUGAUGCUGCCUCCUCCAUCGAUCGAGUUAUGAGGGUGCACAGUACAAGGUAUCAAGGCGUUGUGAUAUUGGAGCUGUUGGUUACAACUUCAUUGCUUGGUCACUUCGUUGUCAGUCAUGUUUUAGAACCAGCUAUAGUUCAUUUCUUAUUUCUGAUAUUGUUGUCCUUUGGUUUCUUGGACUUCUUGUAUUGUUGAUUGAUUAGGCACCUUGAAUAAAAUAAAGGAGAUCUUCUAGGAAUCAUCCAACGUCCCUGACCGAGCUCGACCAUUUUGAAAAUACUGCCGGCUUUGCCUUUAUUCAUAGAGUAUAUCACUUCAUUCCCCCUGUUGCACUUCCAUGUAUGGCAUGUGCACUUUUCAUAUGGCAUGAUUAUAGUGGUGUUAUUCCCAUUUUAUCAUCUUCUCUUAUAUAUAUUUAUGAUCUCUAUUCCGCUGGGCUUUGAUUUUCUCUGUUGCUGCAUCAUCAAACCUGUUUUGGGUAUUUUUUGGUGUGAUGCAGUUCCAAUUAUCUCCCCCUCCCUUGAUGGGUAGAGGUCGUUGGUGGUGAGUCAACUUGUGUAAGAUCUUUGUAGUUUCAUUUAGUUCUGCCUUCUUUCUCCCCCUCCCUUGAUGAAGUGUUUAGCGGUGAGAAAACAUGUGCAAGGUCUUAAGCAGGUCCUACAUAAUACGCGAAUGAGAAUGUUCUGGUGUUUCUGAUUACAUAACCUCUUGUAUUUUGGGAAGGUGAAGCUGGGGUGACAUAAUUUUUUCAAAGCUGCAGCUAGUCUUCAGUGGUUUGGAUUUGACAUCUCUAUUCUCUUUUAUUCACAUUCACCAGUUAAUUUUUUGUCCGACAUCUGGAGUAUUACAGGGAUAUUGAGAAUGAGCAUUUGGUUUAUGAAGUGAUGCAUAUGAUGGUAUGACUCUUGUUGUGGAUCUCUUUUUUAUCAGGCUCAUGGCCAAACAUCACUAGUUGUGAACUUUCAUAUGAAUUCGUAUGUACAAGUAGCAUAGCCAUCCUGUAUGUUUCAAUAUGCAAUUAGGCGAGGUGGCUUUGGUAGUAACUUUCAUAUGGUCCCAAAUGGAUUGGUUAUGAAUAGUCGUAUGUACCUGGUAGAUGCUGUAUGUCAAGAGCUUAGGUGGGAAUUCCUUCGUAGCUUUCUACUUUUUUGGGUAACAGUAUUUAAAAAUAUUGUGCGGGAGUUAUUUUCCGGUGGAGAUUGCUUCAGUGACGAUCUAUAUGGGUUUCUGGUGGGAAGUUUUAGCUGGUCGCAAAACAUUGAUUUCAGGAUAUAUUCUGUGCUUGCUUUUUACAGGUAUACAUGGCAGCUAGAUGAAAUGUCUAGAGAUGGGUUAGGGGCUUGUAUUGGCAAGUCGACUGAGAAGUUUCAGUUGGGGAAUCUUGCUUAUCACGCAAUUGGUAAAUAGAAAUGCGAUAACAAACUUAUUAUCCUGCUUUUUCAGAGAGAAAGGAUUCACCAAUGUUUUUGAUGAUUUAAGGCGCAGUCUCUUACAUAUGCUGCAAUUUAUUGACGAUCCACCUUCACACUGAAAAUAUUGUUUCGUUAUUUGAUGGUUUCCAACUUGAUAUUAAUAAAGGUUCGGUGUUAGCCUGGCAGCGUAUGGAUAUGUUUUGUCAGGGUUUGUUUUCUACAUAGUUGAUGACCCAGUAUAUAUCCUCAAAAGAUAGCUGAUACUCCUUCCCUAGCUGCAGUUUCAAUUGUUUGUUAUUUGUUGCUGGUUUUUCUUUUGUUUUCGCUGAAGCGCUGCUGUGUUUUAUGUACAUCUAGGUAUCAGUUUGCAAGGUUAACUGUUUCAAUGCGUGCAGACUUCCUCUGAAACCUGCUUUCCUUCCAUGUCUUCUCCAAUUUAUUUAUGAUACACCUUUGCAUUUGAUAAUUGUUUCACGAUUGAUGUCUAUGAACCAACAUAAUACUCUUCAUUAUUUGCUAUUUGCUUGUGAGGUUUUCAUGAAUGCUGAAGACUACGUGCAAAUAUCAGUUUGCUGUGGUGAUCGAACUUCUUAUCAUUAGCAAGAUUUGGAAAUGAUAGACGUGUGGUCUCUAUGGUCGCUUGCGGAAACGUCCGAAUUUUCAGAAUGGAGGGAUUGUAGUAUUUGCAAUGAAGAGGGAUAGUAUUUUUCUUUUUUCCAAGUCUACUCAAAUGUAAUGAUGAUCCAACUUUGCAUUGGAAAAAUCUUCCAUUAGUAUCAGAUGUCCCACUAAAUUUUCAACUAAAUAAGGGGUUUGUGUUUGCAUUUGCAUUUGUCGCGACCCUUAUAUAUUCUCAUCAUCUUUAAAAUUUUCUUGCCUGCUUGCAACAUAAUAUUCUUUGCUAUUGCUUGUGUGGUUUAAUAUUGAUGUUGCAGAUAAUAUCCAAUUUCAGUUUGCAAUGGUGUAAUUAAACUGAUAUAGAAUGCUGUGCCAGAUGGUAGUGUUUGACUGAUAAGUCCUUUCAUGUGAGUUCCUGUUCAAACAGUAUUUUAACAGAGAGAUAGAAGAAUGGAUUCAAAAGCCCCCUAAUAUCGUGCGACUUACCGUGGGGCAGCAGGUACUCUAAACUCCUGUUUCAAACAAUAGUUUAAGGUGAGGUACUUGUUGUCACUUGAGCUUUUUUUUGGUCUCUUGAAUGUCUAUUCAAAAGCAUUGAAUGCCAUGAGACAUUUUCUCAGGUUCCUCAGGAAGGUCAACACAUACCUAAGGAAAUAUUAUGUUAUAGGCUGUACCUUGAUCGCGAUAUAGAAUGACGUGCUCAAAUUGUGACAUUUGGCUUAUUAUUUCUUUCAUGUACAUGCUUUGUUUCAAACAAUCUCUCAAUUGUGAGAUAAACGAUGAAAACGAAGGUCAGCUGAUGCCUUAUGGCUUAAUAUAUCUGGGGCGUUCUAAGCUUAGGAAGUGAUCGAUCCGUGCUGUUAGGUGAGCUUUUUUCUUUUGAACGUCCAUAAAUUGUUUGUUCUGGAAGUAUACCUAAUUAGUAGGUCUGUGAUCGUAAAGCUACUAUAGAAGUCGAAGGUGCUAAAAAAUAUGGCCUUCUACACAUCGUUUGCUAAAUUGGGUGUUUUCAUAGCCGACAACAUAAGGAGUGGAGAGGACAGAUUAUAGUUCGCUUGUGUUAUCUUUGUGAAAGGGCCCUUGAAUGAUGAUCAUAUCCUGGUCCACAGCAGUUUAUGCUGUUGACUUAUGCGUUCGCCUGAUGUUCCAAUUUAACAUUCCAUGGAUACUUCUCAAGUAGUAAUGGGAACAUCCGCAAAAGCUGAGGAUGAGCCCGGAUUAGAUACUAGGAACCUGGCUUUUUUUGCAUUUAUUUUUGGGUCGUGGUGGAAAAAAAUAGUAGUCCCCCGUGUUGAAUAACUUUUUUGCAGAUGUUGGAGUAUCAAGGGUCUUCAAUAUUAAUUCGGAUAUUCAUUUAUUUUUAGAACAGUUCAUAUUUAGAUAUCACAUACAAACAUUACAAUUUUUUAAGUAAAAAAUAUUUGAAAAGUAAAUGAAAAAUCAUAGCAAAAAUUUUGUUGAUCCCCUGGAGGUAGUAAUGGCGUAUAAAGUGGAACAGGAGUACAACUAAUGAGAGAAUUUAGAGUUCGGUCUAAAGAGUAAGAAAUUGUUGGUGCGAAGAUGAAAUUUCAUAUUCUCUGUUUGCAUAAAUAGAUGGCUGGAUUUAUUGGUAAAUUUUUGGUAAUAGUUUCACCAAUUUGGUGUUAUUUAGUGACAGAUCUUGAUUUAUCAGUAAACUAAUACUUGGUCGAUAUACUUUCAACUGAUGCAUUAUUGUUGUACAGGUCUUUGCUUCUUUCUUUUUUGGAUAACCGAGAAGUCCCGAAGGGGCAGUUGGCUCACCGUUUUAAACUCUGGGGAUAAUUGACAUGUUAUUCUACUAUUUUUUACUGAACUACCAAGCUUUUGUUAACUUGUGUAUCUGCUUCUUAUAAGCCUCUUACUUUUUUUCUAGGACUACUUUAGAAGCAUGCCAGGUCGCUUUGUUUCUUCUGGCUGCUUCUUUCUUGGUAGGGAAGAGCUUGAUAUGUGCUUUUCUUAUUGAGCCUUACUGAAGAGUUUUACAGUCAAACAUUAGCAAAAUGUUUAUUUCUAGUGUUUUGGCGAUCUCCCAACGACUGCACUCCUUUAGACCACUUGGUAGAGAGGCAGAAUGUUGGUCAUCUUCUAUAUCGGAAGGUAAUUUGUCUGUUCACAAAGUUGAUUCCUCUAGAACAUAAAAAAGAAUCGCAAACUUAUGUUCUUAAAUGUGUUUUGGUUCAUCUGAAGUAUUUUUGGUGUGGAAGUAUGAGCUCUAGCAGACGCUGUAUAAAAACACGAGAAGAGAUUUGCAAACCUUUUGUGUAAGGCAACUCAAGGAAUAUCAGGCAUGUGCACUGGACAACAUUUUGGGGAUCGGCACUGUAUUGACAAAUGUAUUUUUCCACUUAAUGAAAGGAUUGAGAACAUAAAUGAUCAUUACUGAGCCCCGCGUGCAGAGGAGAUUCGAGUCGUUUGGAAGUUGAUACGCACAUAAUGGGAUUUCUGGAGC